rnacentral:rRNA from 1 species
ACAGGACGAACGCUGGCGGUGUGCUCAUACAUGCAAGUCGAACGAUAAGGUCCCUUCGGGGAUACAUAAGUGGCGGACGGGUGAGUAACACGUAGAAAAUCUACCUCGAGGAAGGGGACAACAGUUGGAAACGACUGCUAAUACCCUAUAUGAGCUGGGCUGAAACGCCUAUCUUGAAAGUUCCGGCGCCUUGAGAUGAGUCUGCGUCUGAUUAGCUAGUUGGUGGGGUAAAUGCCUACCAAGGCGACGAUCAGUAGCUGGUUUGAGAGGAUGACCAGCCACAAUGGGACUGAGACACGGCCCAUACUCCUACGGGAGACAGCAGUAGGGAAUUUUGCGCAAUGGGGGAAACCCUUGACGCAGCAACACCGCGUGAACGACGAAGCCCUUCGGGGUGUUAAAGUUCUGUCAGUAGGGACGAAUUUUGACGGUACCUACAAAGGAAGCAUCGGCUAACUACGUGCCAGCCGCAGC